GGUCCCGCCUGCCCUGUGACUAUAUGUUUAACGGCCGCGGUAUUUUGACCGUGCGAAGGUAGCGCAAUCACUUGUCUUUUAAAUGGAGACCUGUAUGAAAGGCAUCACGAGGGCUUAGCUGUCUCCCCUUUAAAGUCAAUGAAAUUGAUCUCCCCGUGCAGAAGCGGGGAUAUGCUCGUAAGACGAGAAGACCCUAUGGAGCUUAAGAUAAAAGGCGAGUCAUGUCAAACACCCCUUCAAAGGAAGUUGAACGAAAUGAUACCCGCUGGAAUGUCUUCGGUUGGGGCGACCGCGGGGAAAGACAAAACCCCCACAUGGACCAGGGCCACUAUAGCCCUAAAACCUAGACCCACAGGUCAAGUCAACAGUAAAUCUGACUACCAAAGAGCCGGCAAUGCCGAUCAACGGACCGAGUUACCCUAGGGAUAACAGCGCAAUCCCCUCCCAGAGCCCUUAUCGACGAGGGGGUUUACGACCUCGAUGUUGGAUCAGGACAUCCUAAUGGUGCAGCCGCUAUUAAGGGUUCGUUUGUUCAACGAUUAAAGUC
rnacentral:rRNA from 1 species